UACGGGGGGGGGCAAGCGUUGUUCGGAAUUACUGGGCGUAAAGGGCUUGUAGGCGGCCAACUAAGUCCGACGUGAAAUCCCCAGGCUUAACCUGGGAACUGCGUCGGAUACUGGAUGGCUUGAAUUCGGGAGAGGGAUGCAGAAUUCCAGGUGUAGCGGUGAAAUGCGUAGAUAUCUGGAGGAAUACCGGUGGCGAAGGCGGCAUCCUGGACCGACAUUGACGCUGAGGAGCGAAAGCUAGGGGAGCAAAGCGGGG
rnacentral:rRNA from 1 species